UACGGAGGGCGCGAGCGUUGUCCGGAAUCACUGGGCGUAAAGGGCGCGUAGGCGGCCCUGGUAAGUCUGCGGUGAAAGCCCGGGGCUCAACCCCGGGUCGGCCGCGGGUACUGCCGGGCUGGAGUGCCGUAGGGGCAGGCGGAAUUCCGGGUGUAGCGGUGAAAUGCGUAGAUAUGCGGAGGAACACCGAUGGCGAAGGCAAUCCCCUGGGCCUGCACUGACGCUCAUGCACGAAAGCGUGGGGAGCAAACAGG
rnacentral:rRNA from 1 species